UACGAAGGGGGCUAGCGUUGCUCGGAAUCACUGGGCGUAAAGGGCGCGUAGGCGGCCAUUCAAGUCGGGGGUGAAAGCCUGUGGCUCAACCACAGAAUUGCCUUCGAUACUGUUUGGCUUGAGUAUGGUAGAGGGUGGUGGAAUUCCGGGUGUAGUGGUGAAAUGCGUAGAUAUCCGGAGGAACACCAGUGGCGAAAGCGGCCACCUGGACUGCACCUGACGCUGACACGCGAAAGCUAGGGGAGCGAACGGG
rnacentral:rRNA from 1 species